AUGCUUGUCUCGUUUCGUGCGGAGCUGCAAAGCUUGGUUGAGUUUGCGCUCCGCCCGCUGCGCAAGCUAGAGGACUCUUUGUGCAUGUGGUUGGCACGUGUGUCCGACCUCUUGGAGCAGGCGGAGGUGUCUGAUGGUGAGCGUGGGUUGAGCCCAGCCUCCUUGCAGGGACCUUGCUCCUUAGGCACUUCCGUUCAUGGUUUGACGCUACCAAAAGAUGGGAGCAAAGGUGUUGAUGACAUUGGCGACAAGGUUGGGUUGGCGCCCUCAAGGUAUGUUGCUGACGUGGAGUCUACAGGGCAGCAUGCGUCGGUCAAGUCUAUGGCCUUGUAUGACAAGGUGGCCACCGAGCUUAGCCUUCCUACUUCUGCCUCCAAUGAGGUGUGGGGCGUUGCAAAGGGAUGCGCAUCGGCAUUUGAGGGCCAAAACACUUUACACGUCUUCAUCGAGCUGGUCAAAAGCCUUUCUGCCGUGCCUGCAAUCACCCAAGGGCUGAUUCACCUUGUCAAUGCAGCGAAGAUCAAGAAUGUCAACCAACUGGCAGGCGUCGCCUCGGGCGUGGGGACUGCAUGUCAUGAUGUUAGCCAUUAG
rnacentral:rRNA from 1 species